CACCGGCGGCUCGAGCGGUGGCCACUUUUAUUGGGUCUAAAGCGUCCGUAGCCGGCUUGGCAAGUCCCCUGGGAAAUCUGGCGGCUUAACCGUCAGGCGUCCAGAGGAUACUGCCAGGCUUGGGACCGGGAGAGGUGAGAGGUACCUCAGGGGUAGGGGUGAAAUCUUGUGAUCCCUGAGGGACCACCAGUGGCGAAGGCGUCUCACUAGAACGGGUCCGACGGUCAGGGACGAAAGCUGGGGGCACGAACCGG
rnacentral:rRNA from 1 species